rnacentral:tRNA from 1 species
ACCUGGCUAGCUCAUUCAGUAGAGUAUGGGACUCUUGAUCUUGAGGACGUAAGUUCAAGCCCUAUGUUGGGCA